UUUUUUCCUGUAGCAAUACAGGGAAAAGUCUAGUGGCGAACGGGUGCGUAACACGUGGGCAAUCUGCCUUAAAGUGGGGGAUAGCUCGGCGAAAGCCGAAUUAAUACCGCAUGUGAUCAGGGGAGACAUCUUCCCGAAAUCAAAAGUGGCGCAAGCUACUGCUUUUUGAGGAGCCCGCGGCCUAUCAGCUAGUUGGCGAGGUAACGGCUCACCAAGGCUUUGACGGGUAGCUGGUCUGAGAGGACGACCAGUCACACUGGAACUGAGACACGGUCCAGACACCUACGGGUGGCAGCAGUCGAGAAUUUUUCUCAAUGGGGGAAACCCUGAAGGAGCGACGCCGCGUGGAGGAUGAAGGUCUUCGGGUUGUAAACUCCUGUCAUUUGGGAACAAGUGUCGGUACCUAACUGCUACCGGCUUGAUAGUACCAGAAGAGGAAGGGACGGCUAACUCUGUGCCAGCAGCCGCGGUAAUACAGAGGUCUCAAGCGUUGUUCGGAUUCAUUGGGCGUAAAGGGUGUGUAGGUGGCGCCGUAAGUCGGGUGUGAAAUUUCGGAGCUUAACUCCGAAACUGCAUUCGAUACUGCGGUGCUUGAGGACUGGAGAGGAGACUGGAAUUCAUGGUGUAGCAGUGAAAUGCGUAGAGAUCAUGAGGAAGACCAGUGGCGAAGGCGGGUCUCUGGACAGUUCCUGACACUGAGACACGAAGGCCAGGGGAGCAAACGGGAUUAGAUACCCCGGUAGUCCUGGCAGUAAACGGUGCACGUUUGGUGUGGGGAGGAUUCGACCCCUUCUGCGCCGGAGCUAACGCGUUAAACGUGCCGCCUGGGGAGUACGGUCGC
rnacentral:rRNA from 1 species